CCUACGGGUGACUGCAGUGAGGAAUAUUGGUCAAUGGACGAGAGUCUGAACCAGCCAAGUAGCGUGAAGGAUGACUGCCCUAUGGGUUGUAAACUUCUUUUAUAUGGGAAUAAAAUGUUCCACGUGUGGGAUUUUGUAUGUACCAUAUGAAUAAGGAUCGGCUAACUCCGUGCCAGCAGCCGCGGUAAUACGGAGGAUCCGAGCGUUAUCCGGAUUUAUUGGGUUUAAGGGGAGCGUAGAUGGGUUGUUAAGUAAGUUGUGAAAGUUUGCGGCUCAACCGUAAAAUUGCAAUUGAUACUGGGAGUAUUGAGUAGGGGUGAGGGAGGGGAAAGUCGUGGUGUAGGGG
rnacentral:rRNA from 1 species